CCAUUGUUUUUAUUUUUUAAAGUAUUUUAUUUUACUUAACAAUCAGCAGUACAUAGUAGUUUGACAAAGCAGAAAGUGCAUGCAUUUCCCUUUCAGUGUUAACUUUGAACACCCGGCUGUCUCUCUUCAUGAAUAUUGAUGGAGAUAAGUGUUGGGCAUUGUAGUAAGGCAAAAAGAGAGAUGAAAAGAUGAAUGGAUGAAGAGACAGAAAGAAAACUGGCAUUGUUUAGUAAUAAAUAGGUUUAAUAGCAAAAAAAUUAAUGUUACUCAAAUUUAAAAACAAAAAGUAACUAGAGAACUAAAGAAAUUGUUGUUCUUCAAGAGAACUAUAUUGAACAAGAGAAAAUUCUUGUUUUGUAAUAUUUCUCUAUGAGUGAAAGAAAAAAGGUAAGACAGUUAUGAGAGAUUCACUGUGUUUGUAUCCACAUGAUUAGACAUUCAACCUUGCUUACAUUUCUUCUCCCUCUCUUUUGUCCUCUAUGGACUGUUUUUUAAAUUGUUGUAAAAUUAUUUUUACUUUGUCAAGAUUUACUUAUUUAAAUUUUUGUUCUGGACCCAUAUUUAUUCCUGUAACUGUUUUUCUCAAUUUAACAUUUAAAUUCUCAUUAUACCAUGUGUUCUACAUUGAUAAAUUAAAUGGUUCCAACCACCCUCUUACAAGGACAAAAAAGAAAAAAAUAUGUCUGGUCUUAACAACAAUGCAGUAAGCCAAGAAAGAAAAAUAAAAUGUAUAAAGAUUGGGGGAAAAAAACAGCCCUCAUUACCAUUCAUCCUGUAGUAAUUUUAUUCCCUAGUUCUUCACUCUGAUCCUUUCUUUUUUCUUAGAUGGGGGGGUGGAUUUAAGAAUCAAGUAGUUAAAAUGUUCUCCUCUCAACCUGUAUCUUGAAUAAUGAGAAGAAAAAUGUUCUUCUCUUUGUCUUUGCAUGUUUGAGAAUCCCUACUAAAUUUAUUAGCUCCAUAAUACAUUUUUGUUCUCAGAGUAAUUCAUAGCUUUUCAUCUCUCUUUGUAAAAAAAUCAUGUUGGGUGGUGUGUGUAUUUCAUUAAAUUCAUGUCCUUAUUGAAUUACUCUAUAGCACAAGCAUUUUUAGAAGAUUUCUUGUAUUCCUUGGAUCUUAGUUUUCCCAGAAUGUGUUCUUCCUUUGAUGUUUUUCGUACCAUGUUCUUUCUCUCCUGUAUUGGUGUUAUUUCUGUGCAUAAUGAUAAUGACAGGAUCCUUUUUAAAAAAUAUUAUUGAUCCUAACGUGGCUGGUUUUAGCCAGACCUCUAAUUGUCUGUAAUUAGUACAGAUGGGUUCCUGUAGACACUCCAAAAAUUUUUGUGACAUAUGUCUUCUAAGCUGCAUCUAAUGCAUUUGAUGUUGCAUUCUCUGUUCCUUUUUAAUAGCAGAGGCCUUGGGGUAGGGGAUGGGAGAACCUGUCUAAGAAAACCUUUAGCUCUUUGUUGUAGGCCUGAAGACUGUUCUUUUCCCUCUCAACUUUGAAUAAAUACUCCUGGGGUCUCAUUCUCCCAACUCUACAUAUUGCCUCAAAAAUUGGCAGGCUCCUGGCAGCCCCUCCCAGUGUCUGCAGAAGAGUAAUGUAUAAGGGCUUCUGCUCUUGAUGGUGUAUUUCCUUGAUUUUUCCUCUCAAGCUGCCUACUCUACCUGCAUCUCCCCAUCUUUUAACAGUGCCUAUUAAAUGAUGGCCUGUCAAUAUUGUUACUGUCAUUCCUAAACUGAUUUUCAAAGGAUUCUUUUUUUUUCUAUCAGAGAUAAAUCAUUUAGGAAGAGAUCCAUUUGAAGAUUCUUGUUUAUAAGCCAAAGAAGGGUUUCCAAAGAGGAAUAGUUUGAAGAUUGACAAAAAUGGGGAUAAUUUGUGAGAGUGAAUGCCUGGAGAGUAUCAGGGAACACCUGGAACAUACAACAAGAGGAUGCAUGGAAGGGCAACUUUUCCUUUGAUACAGGAAGGGAAAGACAUAUGGAUGAAAUGAGUGAAAUUAUACAGCAUUGGAAUUUCCCGUCGAUGGCUUCUUCUUCAGGUAACCACAAAGUCUGAGCACUAUGAAAAACACUUCCUGGGCCAGGCAGGGACUCCUGGUGGAUUGCCUGAGCUCAGGAGUUCAAGACCAGCCUGGGCAACAUGGUGAAGCCCCGUCUCUAC
rnacentral:lncRNA from 1 species